AGUGACCUGCGACAACUCCACAUCAAACCAAUCAGCCUUGAGAUCUCUGGGUGUCAACGGGGACAUGCACAAGCUUCAAACGUGUUUUGAACACCCGUGUGAGCCCUCAAAGCAAGUCCACGUUGUAAUUGAUCCACCGCACAUAUUUAAGUGCAUCAGAAACAACUUGCUCAAAGUGGGCAAGUUUUUGCUCCCUCAAGGACAGGAGGUGUUCCACUGUCACUACAAGGACUUACUGGACUAUGAAGAAGAACAGGCUGGACUCCGGGCUGUACCGAAGUUAACGAAAGCCCAUAU